AAACACAACAUCAGUGAUCUACAGUUAUUACAUCGAUACACAUCGAGUUUUUCACAAGUUGAGUCACCUCAAAUUUAACUCCAAACAUCAUCAUGUACAAGUUAUUGUUUUUGGUUUUUGCCACUCUGGCUUUGAUCGCUGUUGCUUCUUCUCAAACAAUUUACACCUACCCUCAAACCUACGCACCGGUAUACACCUAUCCAUUGUACCACUACACUUACCCUGUGUCUUAUAAUCCAUACAUCACUCUACUUCGUCGAUAAAUACAUUUUCUACCAAAUUUAUAACCAUCUGGAGUUUUCUACAGUUAUUUAAUACCCAUUGUACGAAAACGAUGAUAACGGAAAAUAUAUUUACUUCACUACA